AUGGGCAUCCAGACCCUCUGUUAUGUGGCCUUCUGUGUUCUGAUAGCAAAUCCCACAGAUGCUGGAGUCACCCAGUCACCCAGACAUGAGGUGACAGAGAAAGGACAAGCAGUAACUCUGAGGUGUGAGCCAGUUUCAGGCCACAAUACCCUAUUCUGGUACAGACAGACCAAGAUACAGGGACUAGAGUUACUGAGCUACUUCCGCAGCAAGUCUCUUGUGCAGGAUGCAGGGGCACUCAAGGAUCGAUUCAAAGCUGAGAUGAUAAAUUCAUCCUCCUCCACUCUGAAGAUCCAGCCCACAGAAGCCCAGGACUCAGCUGUGUAUCUGUGUGCCAGCAGCUUAGCCACAGAGCUACACAAGGAAGCCCAGCCAGUGCAGAAACUCUUGUAG